rnacentral:pre_miRNA from 1 species
AAAAUACUCCGUCCGUCCGAAAAUACUUGUUAGAGAAAUGGAUGUAUCUCGACAUAUUUUAGUUUUAGAUACAUUCAUUUUUUCCUAUUUUCCCCACAAGUAUUUCCAGACAGAGGGUAUAUAAA